rnacentral:rRNA from 1 species
AUUGAACGCUGGCGGCAGGCUUAACACAUGCAAGUCGAGCGGGGGAAGGUAGCUUGCUACCGGACCUAGCGGCGGACGGGUGAGUAAUGCUUAGGAAUCUGCCUAUUAGUGGGGGACAACAUCUCGGAAGGGAUGCUAAUACCGCAUACGUCCUACGGGAGAAAGCAGGGGAUCUUCGGACCUUGCGCUAAUAGAUGAGCCUAAGUCAGAUUAGCUAGUUGGUGGGGUAAAGGCCUACCAAGGCGACGAUCUGUAGCGGGUCUGAGAGGAUGAUCCGCCACACUGGGACUGAGACACGGCCCAGACUCCUACGGGAGGCAGCAGUGGGGAAUAUUGGACAAUGGGGGGAACCCUGAUCCAGCCAUGCCGCGUGUGUGAAGAAGGCCUUAUGGUUGUAAAGCACUUUAAGCGAGGAGGAGGCUACUUUAGUUAAUACCUAGAGAUAGUGGACGUUACUCGCAGAAUAAGCACCGGCUAACUCUGUGCCAGCAGCCGCCGUAA